rnacentral:lncRNA from 1 species
UCGGGAAAAAAAAAUUAUAUUCAGCUUGUUUUGGUUUUCCUAAACCUAGCCUAUAUUCUACUUCCCUUGCUAUUAUAAUUUCUCUUCAUAACCUACACCCUUUUUCCGUCUUGCUGAACUUCAACAACAACAUUGUACUUAUAUGGCACCAGAGCAAAAUAAGGUCCAGCUUUUACUCACUUUUGAUUCUCACUCCUGGCUCCUCAAAAACAGAGAAGGCCACAGAGGGUAAGACAGUAAGCAAAAGCUACAGAAUAAAUAAAGCUACACAAUAAUUUUGUCAGUACAGAGCACAGAUACAUGUCUAGGUGUCUGGCUUGUAAAUGCUUUAGGCACUAGAACAUGAGUCACUGUAGCAAAUCCAGACAUAGGUAUUUGGGUUCAGAGCAAAUCAUGGAAGAAACAGUUACAC